GGGAGCCCGCGGCCUACUCGGGGCCCGGCCGGGCCCUGCCCGGGCACCGCGGGGCCGAGCGGGGCCGAACGGGGCCGGGCCGGGGCCGAACGGGGCCGGGCCGGGCCGAGCCCCUCGCCCCGGGGCUGUUUGCCCCUUGCAGUGCUCACCUGGGUGCCCGUGGGUGUGUCAGCGGGCACCGGGCGUUAACACACACGCCCCAGGCGGGCUGCCCCUCACACGGGAGCCUUGCCAGGCGGGCAGGGACGGGCAGAAGUGCCCCCAUGGCCAGCACGCGUCCGCAGCCCUCCAUAACCCAUCGCUGCCCUGCCCUGGAGAGGGCCGGGGUCUGGCCGUGCGGCCCCAGCAGCAAAGGCAGCCUCGAAAACACAUUUCCUUUGGUGUCACGCUACAGAACGCCGAAAGCUCUGUGUGCUGCUGCUUCUCCUGUGUGCUGCUGCUCCUCUGGCCAUCUCAGGCACCGAAUUACUACGGACCAGAACCUCGAGGUCACUCGCUGGGAAACU
rnacentral:lncRNA from 1 species